UACAUAUUUGUUUUAUUUGAAAUUUGUUGAUUAAAUCACAGACACUGACAUAAUAAAUACAUGAUUCUACAUUAAUGAUCAUGGUCUAUAUUAAUGAUCACAAUUUACAUUUAAUGAGUAUAUACAGAAAUAUUAUAUUAAUGAUUAUGUGUACAAUUUUCAACCUUUAAUCUGCUUAUUGCAGUAUACAUUAACAAAACAUGAUACCCUGGAAUGCAAAAAAACAAUAUUAACAACAUCUUAAUGAAAAACUGUUUCUGUGAUACCCAUGUUGUCUUUGGAAAGUGAUUUUACCUGAUGUGCUUCUUCUGAAAAAUUGAAUGGGUUUUGGAACAAAACCAUCAGAUGUGAUACAACAAAAACCACAGUCCAAGGAGAAUGGGUCACAUAAUACAUUAUACUUUAAAAUGGGAGGAGCUAACAAAUAACAGCACUUCAAAAUGGGAGAAGAUUAAAGCUUGAUAGAAAUUUCAAUAUCAAUGUGAUAAAAAAAUAUUUUAAAAACUUAGAAAGUUUAAAAAGAAAAUAUAAUGAUCCUAUAGAUGAAAUAUCCGACACUUGCAUCUGAUUCUACUAAAAAUGCUAGGUCAUAAACAUACAAGUUACUCAAGUUUUUAAACUCUCACCAACCUGUCAAUGUCUGUUGUCAAACAACAGGUACUAUAACUAUCUAAUUUACUAUUAAACACUGUUAGAUAAAUA
rnacentral:lncRNA from 1 species